GGCUGUAAGGAUGAUCUGGCUGUCACAUCUGUCACCCCACUGUUGAUUCAGCUGAUCUGACUGGCUAGACACCUCUCCCCUUCCUCCCUCAGCACUCCAUGGGCAUCCUCCUGAAGCUACACACUCAAAGCAGGCAGCCUUCCCAGAUACAGGAGGACCAUUCUUCGGUCAAGGGUAGAACCUCCACACAAGCUCUCGAGAAAGAGAUACAAAGGAGUCAGUAAUGCUGAACCAUCACUGCUGUUAGUGAUUGGACAUAUUAACAUAAGAUUAUUUUCUCUUCUAUUAGCUACUCUAGAUUACCUUUCUAU
rnacentral:snRNA from 1 species